CUCUUUUUGAUNAUAAUUUAAAGUAGGGCCUGCCCACUGAAAUUUUGAAGGGCCGCAGUAUUUUGACUGUGCAAAGGUAGCAUAAUCAUUAGUUUUUUAAUUGAAAGCUUGUAUGAAUGGUUUGAUGAGAAAAUUACUGUCUCAAUUUUAAUAUUUUAGAAUUUUAUUUUUAAGUUAAAAAGCUUAAAUAAAUUUAAAAGACGAGAAGACCCUAUAGAGUUUAAUUUAAAAUAUAAUUAUAAAUUUAAGAAUUAAUUUUUUAAAAUUGUAUUUUAAAUUAGGUUGGGGUGACUAAAAAAUUAAAUAAACUUUUUUUUUAUUUUAACAUGAAUUAAUGAAUAAUUGAUCCAUAAAAAUGAUUAUAAGAUUAAAUUACCUUAGGGAUAACAGCGUAAUUUUUUUUGAGAGUUCUUAUUGAAAAAAAAGAUUGCGACCUCGAUGUUGGAUUAAAAUUUAUUUUUGGUGUAGAAGCUAAAUAAUUAGGUCUGUUCGACCUUUAAAAUUUUACAUGAUCUGAGUUUAAACCGGUGUAAGCCAGGUUGGUUUCUAUCUUUAAAAUAAUUGAAUAUCUUAGUACGAAAGGAUCAGGUAUUUUAUUAAUAAUAUUUAUUUUGAAUUAAAUUUUUAUUUUGGCAGAAUAGUGCGAGAGAUUUAGAAUCUUUAUAUGUAAUUUUACAAAUAAAAAUUGAUUUGGUUUUAAUUUUAAUUAAUUUUUUUUUAUUAUUUAUUGGAGUUUUAGUGGGGGUGGCAUUUUUAACUUUACUUGAACGAAAAUUAUU
rnacentral:rRNA from 1 species